AUAUAAUGAUGAUAAUAUUUGCUACUUAUGAUUGGAAUGAUUACGUUUCCACCAAGAUCUCUGAGGAU